rnacentral:lncRNA from 1 species
AAUAAUUUAUACUAGUUAAAGGACCCGCGCGAUGCCGCGGAUAGUUAUUUUAAAAUUUAAUUUUAAAAAUUAGUUAUAAAAAUUAAUUUCAGAAUUUAAAUGGUGCAAUAAGUACACCCAAAAAUUUUAGUAGGCAUAGUAGUCUCUUAUUAGUUAGUGAAAUAAUUUUAGUAGGUAUCGUAGUACCCCAGUAGUUAGUAAAUGAGAAGAGAAAUCAUACUGCGGUUAGUUAUUUUAAAAUUUAAUUUUAAAAAUUAGUUAUAAAAAUUAAUUUCAGAAUAAUUAUGAAAUAUUACGGACAAAUUACGAAAUAAUUUUAAAUAAAUGCAGUUAUCUUUCCUAAUGUAAUAAGAAAUAAUUUUUAGUAGGCAUCGUAGUCCUCCAGUAGUUAGUGAAAUAAUUUUUAGUAGGUAUCGUAAUGUAAUAAGUAUAUCUAAUACCAAUAGUCUAAAUUAUUUAACAUUUAUUUGUAUAUUUUAUAUUUUAUAAAAAUAAAUAGUAAAUUAUAUAAUAAAUUAUUAUAUAAUAAUAUAUCUAUAUAAAAAUAAAAUACUAUAUAUAAUAAAUAAAUAUAUAUUUAUAAAUAAAAUUUUAU